UGCCCAUCCUCUAGAUAGUGGGGGCGGCGUGGGGACUGUUAGGUUUGAGGAGCCCGUCGUCUCUCAGCCCGGCGUCCCACAUGUCCCGGAGCGGGCCGCGGGAGGCGGUGCAGGGGUUCGGGUUGCAUUCUUUGUGCCCCGAAUCGCCGCGGCUCCUCACUCAGAGGCUGCUUUGGCCCCGCAGCGCUGUAGAGAAGCGCACUGUCGGGGAGGAGAUCGCACGCGAGGAUAGCUCCCUGGUUCUCGCCUCUGGGCUUUGUGGACUGGUCAGUCAGGCGCAGGAACAACCUCCUCCCUAAUCGCGAUCGUGGUUCCGAGCCUGUCUUUGCGUCGCAGAUUCAGAUGAGGUAACUAAAAUAGUUGACCAUGGUUAAGUAACUUGCUCAAAGUCAACAAAAAUGAACCCGUACCAGAGUGGAAUUGUAGCUUAUCUCUUGGAUGGGGACUAGAAUACAAAUUGAAAACGUUAAGGAAAAAAGGAAAACGUGGAGGUGCGGAAAAUCACUGAAAACUAAGAACAGCAAACUCAGAGCAGAAGCUUGUAUGACUAUCCUUAGAUCACAUCAAAUCAGAUGCUGCGGAAGGAUGUUGUAAGAGUUGCAAACUUCCCACUAUAAAGCUAAUUUGUCAUCAUUAUAUCUACUGUAUCCAGAGUGAUGUCUGA